GCCGUCGUGGCUCAAUGGCUAGGGCGUCGCUUUCCUACUAUGGUAGGAUUAGGCGAAGAUUGUGGGUUCGAGUCCCAUCGUCGGUA
rfam:Phanerochaete carnosa HHB-10118-sp unplaced genomic scaffold PHACAscaffold_5, whole genome shotgun sequence.